rnacentral:rRNA from 1 species
UACGUAGGGUGCAAGCGUUAAUCGGAAUUACUGGGCGUAAAGCGUGCGCGGGCGGUGAUGUAAGACAGUUGUGAAAUCCCCGGGCUCAACCUGGGAACUGCAUCUGUGACUGCAUCGCUGGAGUACGGCAGAGGGGGAUGGAAUUCCGCGUGUAGCAGUGAAAUGCGUAGAUAUGCGGAGGAACACCAAUGGCGAAGGCAGCUUGCUGGCAUAUUUCUGACGCUAAGGCACGAAAGCGUGGGGAGCGAACAGG